rnacentral:rRNA from 1 species
AAACCAGCUCUUCAAGUGGUCGGGAUGAUUAUUGGGCUUAAAGUGUCCGUAGCCGGUUUAGUAAGUUCCUGGUAAAAUCGGAUAGCUUAACUAUUUGUAUGCUAGGAAUACUACUAUGCUAGAGGGCGGGAGAGGUCUGAGGUACUACAGGGGUAGGGGUGAAAUCUUAUAAUCCUUGUAGGACCACCAGUGGCGAAGGCGUCAGACUGGAACGCGCCUGACGGUGAGGGACGAAAGCCAGGGGAGCGAACCGGAUUAGAUACCCGGGUAGUCCUGGCCGUAAACGAUGCACACUAGGUGAUGGCACGGCCAUGAGCCGUGUCAGUGCCGUAGGGAAACCGUUAAGUGUGCCGCCUGGGAAGUACGGUCGCAAGGCUGAAACUUAAAUGAAUUGGCGGGG